GCAGCCCUAGAUGCCUGAGUCAUUGCUUCACACAUCCUGCCUUGCUUCAGCACUUCCUCAUUCAAAGCAGGGGCUCGUCGGAGAAGCACCUUUGACUCUCAGCAGUCGCAUGCAGGAUAUCAAGAGAAGUUCCUCACAGGCCGCACGAGGAGCCUACGGAGCCACCUCGCCCCCACGGGAGUUAAGCACUCCUGCGCGUACGCAGUCCAAUUCAGGCAGCUGGAUGCCGCACGCACACAUCAACGGAUAGAGCUUUGUUUCAACAGAGGCAAAAGUCACAGCUGAAGUGCCUGGUGAAUUUAGUGACGUGGGACAAUUCCUAGCAACUGGGAAGCCACAAAAAUGAAAAGGGAGACUGCUUUCUGGAUGGUUGCCUGUUUACUGUUCACAUCUCUACCCAGAGGUCAGCCAGACACAACGUGCCAUGCAUUUGUGGGAGAAACUGUCAUUUUGCCUUGUACCAUCACCUCUCCUGGAGAGCUAGAUGUUUCCGAUUCAAAGCUCUACUGGCAGAUAGAGUCUACUAUAGUGCAUUUUUUUCACAAUGGGGAAGAUUCACUGAGGUACCAGGAUAUAAAUUACCGUGGCAGAACCAGUCUUUUUUUGGAUGAGGUGAAGCAUGGCAACUUUUCUCUACAGCUCUCCAACAUCCGAUUAGAGGAUGCAGCUGAAUAUACUUGCAUCUAUAAACAGGCUAGGACUCUCUCCAACAAAACACAGAAAUCUAAAAUUAAACUCAAUGUAUCAGCAAUUUCUUUAGAAAGAGAGAGGAAGUGAAUCUGUUUUGUAUUAAUCUUUAGUCUGGGAGGCACAUGGAACUUUGGACGUUAAAGGACCUGCUGAGAACAGAGAGACUAUGUGCACAAAUAACUCCCACACUUUGCCUUCACUAUAAACAGAUCAGUAGAUCACAGUCAGGCUUCCCCAAGAAGUCCUGGUGAUGCACAGGGACUAGAUAUACUUGCUCUCUCUUUUCAUCUCCUGGUAACACUGGUGGUUUGGCAUUUGUGACUGGGAAAGCUAAACUUUGGUUUGGGAAGUCCUCCUCAUCAGAGGAUCUUGCUGUACAGAAGAGCUCUGUAAGGAUAAGACUGCUCUGGAGCCACAUAACAUAGGCACCAAUAUUUGAAAACACCUAGCAGUAGGUGUUUAUGUUCUGUAUUUUGGUGCACAAAAGAAACCAAAGGCAGUAAAACUCAGAGGUGGCAAGCCUGUUUUUUCAUUUGUUUCUUGAAGCCCAAUUUUAGUGCUGUCAGUGUGAGCAUUUUAGUAUUUGAUGGUUUUGCUUUGAUGACAGCUUCAGUUUAGAUAAAGACCUACAAAGCCACAGCAUGAUGUUAUAACUCACCCUAGGGAGAUCUUCUGCUUAAGAUCCCAUCGGCAGUCCUUCAAGCAAAUUGAAAGGAGAAGGAGUAAUUACCCUCUGCGUCAGAUAAAAACUGGAAGUAGGAAGAGGCUCUCUUUGUGAAACAUAAGGAUGGAAACCUUGUGAAAUUUGAGCCUGAGGAACUUCAGCUUCUAUUUUUACUCUUAAACAUCAUGGCUAUCAGUAGUGAUUUUUUUUUCCAAAAGAAAUGAACUAUUCAGCAGAAGGGUAAAGCUGACAGAUGAAGAUGAUGGAGGUUAGAAAACUUCAGUGCAGAGGAAGAAGGUGCUGUGUUAUUACAAAACCCACUUCUAGUAAGUCAAAGGCUUUAGAAGGCUGAAUUUAGUAUUUUCUCGCCAUGAAAGGUGGAGAAGUAAAUGCCAUCAUCAGGCAAAGGCUGUAUUCUUAAGCUAGAACUGCGUGAUAAAAGAUUGAUAUUGUGACACUGUUUCUUGUUUAAAAAUGACACCUUCAGAUGAGAAAAGGAAUUAAAAAUUGGUCAAGGAAUGAUAACUGUUAUCCAUGCAGAUAAAAUGUUCAGUGCAAGUAGUGUAAGAUGUCUAGCUUAGUAAAGCUAAGGUUGAAAGGAUCCUGUCUACCAGCAAUAUCAAGAAAAGCACAGAAGCUUUGUGUCAGGCCAGAGCUGUUGCAACUGCGCUACUACAGAACUGAGAAGUGUCUGGAGAACUGCUCACCUGGGUCGGUGUGAAGAGUGGCGAUUGCAAUGCAGUCAUUUUGCAUGCACCCUCAAGCAGAGGAAAGUGACUCAUAAGGAUGCAUAUAGAGUCAUUUUGAUUUGAAACAGUUCCACCCUCUUUCCAGAGGACAAGGGUUGUUUUUGCAAGGAAAGGACCUGAACAAAACAGUGCUUAAAAUAGUAUCCAUUGAGGUAAAGACUGUUAACUUUGACUUUCAUUGGCAAAUGGCCCUUUCCCCACAGUGGGGAAAAUGGACAAAAUGACACACACAGUGUGCAAUGCUGCAGCACUGAUGCUCAUGGGCACUCAGGCUGCCCUUGCUACAGAGCAGCUUAGUGCAGCAACUGGGGACCAAUUUAACAGACAGAUUUGAGUAUUAAAGCACAUACAUACUGUGAUUGUCUCCUUUGUCCCACCCUCCAAACAUUGUUUGUCUCAGAUUAUAUAUAUUUUUCAAAACAGAAGAGUUAAUUAAAAAUAAAGCCUUAAAUUCUGAAAAAAAA